CCUACGGGGGGCAGCAGUGGGGAAUAUUGGGCAAUGGGCGCAAGCCUGACCCAGCAACGCCGCGUGAAGGAAGAAGGCCCUCGGGUUGUAAACUUCUUUUAACAGGGACGAAGAAAGUGACGGUACCUGUUGAAUAAGCCACGGCUAACUACGUGCCAGCAGCCGCGGUAAUACGUAGGUGGCAAGCGUUAUCCGGAUUUACUGGGUGUAAAGGGCGUGUAGGCGGGAGAGCAAGUCAGACGUGAAAUUCCAGGGCUCAACCCUGGAACUGCGUUUGAAACUGUUCUUCUUGAGUGAUGGAGAGG
rnacentral:rRNA from 1 species